rnacentral:rRNA from 1 species
GAUGAACGCUGGCGGCGUGCUUAACACAUGCAAGUCGAACGGAAAGGCCUGCUUUUUCUUGUGGAUUGCGUGUCCUCGAGUGGCGAACGGGUGAGUAACACGUGAGUGAUCUGCACUCAACUUGGGUAUAAGCCUGGGAAAUUGGGUCUAAUUCCCGAUAGGACUGCAGGGUGGUGCCUGUGGUGGAGAACGAUUUUCUAGUGGUUGGGGAUGAGCCGGCGGCUUAUCAGCUUGUUGGUGGGGCAAUGUCCUACGAAGGCGGCGAGGGGUAGCCGGCCUGGGAGGGGCGACGGCCGAAUUGGGACUGGGAUACGGCCCAGACGCGAACGAGAAGCAGGAGUGGGGAAGAAUGGGCCGUGAGCGGGAGCCUGAUGCGGCGACGCAGCGUGGGGGAUGUCGGGCUUGGGAUUGUAAGCUCCUUGCGACCACGAGAUGGCCGCGUGGUUGGAAGGGUGGUGACGGUAGUGGAAGAAGAAGCACCGGCUAACUACGUG